GGAAUUUUCAGUACUCUGUAACCAACCCUGAUUUUUCCACAUCCUCUUCAGAAGUCAUUACCUGUGAUACUCCUUCCAUGAGAUAAUUUUUUUUAGUCCUCAAUUUAGCACAUUUUAAAUCCAGACAAAAGGAAAAAAUCUCAUGGGAUCAUUUUAGUUUUGCAAAGAAGUGGACUGAUACCUAUGUUUAUGGCCUAUAAGCAAAUACUUAAGUGGGAAAGACAGUGAUAGAGAAAAAAAAAAAAAAAAAACAUCGAACUAGAAAGAGAAAAUCCCUUCAGAGUCCAUGGAGAGUGAGCAACAUCAGAGUUCGCUGCUCUUAUGUACCCUCUGU
rnacentral:lncRNA from 1 species